rnacentral:rRNA from 1 species
GACGAACGCUGGCGGCGUGCUUAACACAUGCAAGUCGUACGGUAAGGCCCUUUCGGGGGUACACGAGUGGCGAACGGGUGAGUAACACGUGAGUAACCUGCCCACAACUUUGGGAUAACGCUAGGAAACUGGUGCUAAUACUGGAUAUGUGCUCCUGCUGCAUGGUGGGGGUUGGAAAGCUCCGGCGGUUGUGGAUGGACUCGCGGCCUAUCAGCUUGUUGGUGGGGUAGUGGCCUACCAAGGCGGCGACGGGUAGCCGGCCUGAGAGGGUGACCGGCCACAUUGGGACUGAGAUACGGCCCAGACUCCGACGGGAGGCAGCAGUGGGGAAUAUUGCACAAGGGGCGCAAGCCUGAUGCAGCAACGCCGCGUGCGGGAUGACGGCCUUCGGGUUGUAAACCGCUUUCAGCAGGGACGAAGCUUUUUGUGACGGUACCUGCAGAAGAAGCACCGGCUAACUACGUG